rnacentral:rRNA from 1 species
AACAUAAAAAAAUCCGCCUGUUUUUAUCCAAACAUGUCUUUUUGAAAUAAAUUUAAAGUCUAACCUGCCCACUGAUAAAAAUUAAAGGGCCGCAGUAUUUUGACUGUGCGAAGGUAGCAUAAUCAUUAGUCUUUUAAUUGGAGGCUUGUAUGAAUGGUUGAAUGAGAUAUAUACUGUCUUUUUUAAAAUUAUAUAGAAUUUUAUUUUUUAAUCAAAAAGUUAAAAUAAAAUUAAAGGACGAGAAGACCCUAUAGAUCUUUAUUUUUGUUAUUUAUAAAUUAAAAAGAAUUUUAAAAUUUAUAAUUUAAUAAAAAAUUUUAUUGGGGUGAUAUUAAAAUUUAAAAAACUUUUAAAAUUUAUUAACAUUAAUAUAUGAAUAAAUGAUCCAGUUUUAUUGAUUAAAAAAUUAAGUUACCUUAGGGAUAACAGCGUAAUUUUUUUUUAGAGUUCAUAUCGACAAAAAAGAUUGCGACCUCGAUGUUGGAUUAAGAGUAUUUUAGGUGUAGCAAGUAAAAGAUAAGGUCUCUCGUCCGAUUAAUAUCGAUUCC